rnacentral:rRNA from 1 species
ACAAUAUACAAGGUGCUGCAUGGUUGUCGUCAGCUCGUGCCGUGAGGUGUCGGGUUAAGUCCCAUAACGAGCGCAACCCCUAUCAUUAGUUGCCAUCAGGUCAAGCUGGGGACUCUAAUGAAACUGCCUACGCAAGUAGUGAGGAAGGUGGGGAUGACGUCAAAUCAGCACGGCCCUUACGUCCAGGGCUACACACGUGCUACAAUGGCCGGUACAAAGGGCAGCUACCUGGUGACAGGAUGCUAAUCUCAAAAGCCGGUCUCAGUUCGGAUCGGAGUCUGCAACCCGGCUCCGUGAAGCUGGAAUCGCUAGUAAUCGCGCAUCAGCCAUGGCGCGGUGAAUACGUUCCCGGGCCUU